rnacentral:misc_RNA from 1 species
GAUGAAGAACGUAGCGAAAUGCGAUAAGUAAUGUGAAUUGCAGAAUUCAGUGAAUCAUCGAAUCUUUGAACGCACAUUGCGCCCGCCAGUAUUCUGGCGGGCAUGCCUGUUCGAGCGUCAUUUCAACCAUCAAGCCCCAGGCUUGUGUUGGGGACCUGCGGCUGCCGCAGGCCCUGAAAACCAGUGGCGGGCUCGCUGUCACACCGGGCGUAGUAGAUUUUAUCUCGCUCAGGGCGUGCUGCGGGUUCCGGCCGUUAAAAAGCCUUUUUUACCCAAGGUUGACCUCGGAUCAGGUAGGAAGACCCGCUGAACUUAAGCAUAUAAUAAGCGGAGGA